AUUGAACGCUGGCGGCAUGCUUUACACAUGCAAGCCGAACGGUAACAGGGUGCUUGCACCGCUGACGAGUGGCGAACGGGUGAGUAAUGCGUCGGAACGUGCCGAGUAGUGGGGGAUAACGCAGCGAAAGUUGUGCUAAUACCGCAUACGUACUGAGGUAGAAAGUGGGGGACCUUCGGGCCUUACGCUAUUCGAGCGGCCGACGUCUGAUUAGCUAGUAGGUGAGGUAAAGGCUCACCUAGGCGACGAUCAGUAGCGGGUCUGAGAGGAUGAUCCGCCACACUGGGACUGAGACACGGCCCAGACUCCUACGGGAGGCAGCAGUGGGGAAUUUUGGACAAUGGGCGAAAGCCUGAUCCAGCCAUGCCGCGUGUCUGAAGAAGGCCUUCGGGUUGUAAAGGACUUUUGUCAGGGAGGAAAUCCCUAGCGUUAAUACCGCUGGGGGAUGACAGUACCUGAAGAAUAAGCACCGGCUAACUACGUGCCAGCCGCCGCCGUAAUAC
rnacentral:rRNA from 1 species